UACGUAGGGCGCAAGCGUUAUCCGGAAUUAUUGGGCGUAAAGAGCUCGUAGGCGGCUUGUCGCGUCGACUGUGAAAUCCCGCGGCUCAACUGCGGGUCUGCAGUCGAUACGGGCAGGCUAGAGUUCGGUAGGGGAGACUGGAAUUCCUGGUGUAGCGGUGAAAUGCGCAGAUAUCAGGAGGAACACCGGUGGCGAAGGCGGGUCUCUGGGCCGAUACUGACGCUGAGGAGCGAAGGCGUGGGGAGCGAACAGG
rnacentral:rRNA from 1 species